GCCCAAAUGCAGCAGACACAAGAGCCAUUUGUUUCCGCUCUGGCUGCUGGGACCGGAAGUAGGCGCCGCGAUGCAUUCGGGGAUAUGGAGUUUAACAACUGUAUGCUUCCCGAGAGGAGGCAUCUGACACAAUGACUCGGCAUUUUUAUGAGAGUGUAAUGGGGUGAUUUUGGUGACUCAGCUCCGGCUGUAGUUGAAAGCCAAAAGUCCGAUGGCCAGCACUCCCCCAAACGUAUCACGGGCAGCCACUGUGCGCAGCCGCACUAAUCAGGCGGUCUAUUUCAAUGGCACCUUGCUUCCUCUAUCAGAGCGUCACCUGCAGCGGAGAAGUGCCGAUCGCUCCUGACCUGGUUUGGCUGUGGAGAUCACUGUGAAGGGCCCCAAACUACACCCCAGACCUGCACCCCCUACGGAUCACCCCGGUCCAGCCUUCCUCAGUCAUUAGUGGCGUCUCAGCAGUUUGGAGAAGAAUCCAGAACCUUUGUGAGUCUUGUUCUCAUCCUCAACACUCUGGACCUUGGCGGCCCCCAGGCCGAGCUCCCCUUCCAGUUGAUCCAGCUCGGCCUGGUCCAGCAGCUCAAAGUCCUCCACCUCGCUGUCAAACUCCUCCACCAGCUCCGGCGCCGUGGUGGACUCUUGGAAUCGGGACCAAUCUAGACAGUUUUGGUCUGAGCUCGCUGCGAAACCAAGGACCGCCUUACUUCUUUCCUGAAUGGCGGCCGUGACGGCGGCGGUGAUGACGUCACUGGCUAGGUCCAGAGCUUUGUGGGUGGGCAUGUCCUCUGCUGGGGGAGGUGCACACUUGCCCCUGAUUGGCUGAGGAAGACUGAAGUCGUCUUCUUCGUCACCAUUGGUCGACGCCCCGUUGUCAAGAGAGGGAAACUCUGGAAGACCGCCAGUGAACGCCUCUUCUCUGUCCAGGAAUGCCGCGAUGCCAAAGUCCAGUUUCUGCAAAACCGGCUUCAGCCACAAAGACACCUCUUGAGACGACACCAGAGGCCACAGGAAGAUAGACAGCACUGCGGAGAAGAGGAAAUGCGGGACUUAAUGAAUAUUAAUGUUCAUGUGAGGGCGCCUUGAUGAGAAACGAAGACUCACCAAGAAGAUACGAGACGACAAUCCCUGGAAUGUAGCGUCCGAGGACAGCAAAGAAGGUGCAAAAGCUACAAACCAGCAAACAGAACUGCAGGACAAAGGACACGUGUGCUGAAAAGAACCAGACCACUCCACCAAAGCGGGUCUGACCCACUGGGCCCGGUUCUUCCUCACCUUGCCAGGGUUCUGCUGCUUGAAGGCUGACAUCUCCUGCAGGAAGAGGCGGAGCGAGCUGCCCAGGUGAAGCCCGUCGCUGGACCCGCUGUCCUGGCCCGAGUCCAUCAUUUCCCAGCUGUGACACAGACAAGGUCAAAGGUCACUGUCAGCCAUUUUUACAAUAUCAGCAUGAUGUCAUGUUUGCGCUGCAGCGUUGGCCUGCUAGCCCCUCCCACCUUACCAUUAAUAACCCCCCAGGCCCCCACGCCCCCUACCCCCACCCAGGCACAUGUACAUCCCACAUCUGACCCCCGUGAGGAGGCUGUUUCCUGGGAAACGUGGACACCAGACCCGCAUGUUCCACGAAAGCGUUCCACUGGAAUCUGCUGAGUCAUCUGUUGACUUUGGUCAUGAUUCAGCAAAAUAUGAUAUAUAUAAAUAUGAAAUAUUCUUCCUUUACCAAGACAAACACAAAAACUAAUGUUAGUAAGUUAAGUUCAAAGUACUUGAAGGAGUUGGUGCAAAUCUUGUUAAACUUAGUCUUAAGUCAUCUUCAAUGAACCAGGAAGUGACCUGCCAGCCACCAAAAAGACUAGCGUAACAAGCUAACAGAGUAUGAACUUGCACUUUUGAAAGAGGUGAUAAACGUCACGACAGGAAGAGAGAAGUCCAUCAAAUAUUUCAUCAGCACAUGAAAGGACCUCUUCGUUCAGGCAGCAUCCUUCAGUGCAACAAUAUAACAAUAAACAAUAUCCAAUAAUAGCAUCAUCAUCCUCAAAUAGACGCGACAACAGGAGCAUCUUGGGUGAGAUUGGAAUAUAAGGUGAGUAACGGGAUGGAAAAGACGUAUGAAUCAGGAAGACACAGCAAGGCUCCAUGGACCUGGUGGACUUUAUGGUACCAGAAUAAGAAGAAGAACACGAUGGAACCACAUGGAACCACACAGAGAAAGAUUCAUGACCUCACAUAAAAGCCAUUCAAGACUGUUUAGGCUUCCCCUCGAACCAUUACCUCCGAGACCCGCUGAGGGUCUUUCAGCUCUCCCGGUUCUGAACCCCAUCCCAUACCUGAGUCCUGCUCCACGGUCUUCGGGAGACAUGUUAGAUCCACCAGCGGCCAAAAGAGACAGGAGAGGCUCACGGUGACGAAGAAGCAAACAGUCGGUCUGAGAGCUAGAAAUCGCAGGUUCGAGUCUGGCUGGUGUUGAAGUGAUGGCGACUUGUGUUUAUGCUCAAUGAAGCCCAGUCCGCUUAUUUCAAGCCCCCGGCUCUAAAAAUAACACAGUCACAUUACAUCGUGACAGGCAGUCACCAGCAGCACAGCGUUGUGACGUAGUACCGGGGUGGGGUGCAGCAGGGGGCCGCAGCCGCACAUUGCCAAGCCCCCCCCCCCCAGACUGACAUGGGAAAUGACUUAAAUAUUGUGGUUCAACCACGCCCACAGACUGUUGAUUGACAGCUCUGACACAAAUACGCUGACUCAUCUUUGUCAAUGAUAAAUAUCUUUACCACAAGUGACGUUUGUUUGUUUGUGGCAUCCAAUCAGAGGGCUCGCAAAGGAGCACUCCCCUCCCCGGCCAGCCGCCUGAUUGGUUCACCUGUCUCGCUGUGUUGACGCUGUUCUGGAAAAAGCUGAAUCACACGCGCACACACGCACACACACACACACACUGACCGUUCAGGUUUCACAACUCUUGAGACACUUGAAGUUUGUUGUGGGAACACACAGUCGUCUUCCUGCAACGCUCACAUGAUGUUUAUGCACUUUUACUACACACACACACACACAUUGAUUGACAGCUCUCUCACUCUGCUGCAGGUACCUCAGGUUGGUAAACAUGGCGCCCCUUUCACAAUGAAAAGGUUGGGUUGCGUCGGUCACAAACAUGAUGACUGUGACAUCACAGCAGCAAUAAAGCGUAGAAUUAUAGAUAUAAAGCCAAUAGAAUCCUGUUGCGAAACAACAGUAGCGUAGUGGGACAAUUACACGGGUGACAUUUCAGUGUUUCUGUCAGCAGCUAAUCUCCCACAAUCCUUUGCCUGAGCGCUGAGGCACCGCCCGUCACAUGACGCCGCUGACGGACAGCGACAGGUGACAAUGACGCAACGCAGACAAAUGUCAGGCAAGUAGACAAACAGGCGGUGUCCACGUUACAGAGCCAUGCUGAGAGGACGACAUCUACAAAAACAACAAGUGGUUGUUGGUCACAUGACCCCAUAUGGCCCAACCCUGACCUUUAGGCCUUGGCUGCAUGUUCUACAGCUCAGGGAGGAUUCAUCAGCCAUGGAUUCAUCAUCAAUUGAGCUUGAAAGUCAGUUUGCCAAUUUGGGAGGCUUUCUUGGAACUAACUUCAUGUCAAAGCUGUAGUCACAUGACAUUUUCUACACGCCACCCAGAGACUUCAAGCACACUUCAAGUAGAAGAAGCAGCCUUCAAGUUGUAUACAUGCAGUACUCUCAUCCAGUUUGCUGCGUAAAGUAGACAUGACGUCAACUACAGCCGUGAAUAUCUCCACUCUGAGCUACAAUGUGAUCAAUAUGUAUCAAUGGUUAUGAAAAAUAAUAUCACAAAUUCAUCACACGUCCAUUCUAACACACAACAGCUUAGCUACAUUUAGACUGGGGCCCCCAAAAGCUCCAUGACCUGUACUGGAACCCAGGAAGACUUUGGCACCACACAUCACAGGCGGGUGAGGAACAUUUUCCUCACAUUUACACAAAUAAUCUUUUUGUUGUUGUUUGGAUAAGCUGAUGAGACGUGAUAAAACGUCUUUACGUAAACUCUCCCCUCCUCGAGUACGAUCAACAAUGGGAUGAGUUGAGGAUCUUCUUACCUUGCUGACAUGCUGCUCCACAAGGGAGUUGCUGUGGAGAACAUUAGCAGAAGGUUAAAACCAAGUAGACCGGACUUCAAGUUCUACGUCAACUUGAUGUCUUGAUUAGAUUAACCAAGUUUGUGUUCCCCACAGGACUAAUCUAUUUGUGGUGGUGGGUUGUGGGUAGCUGAUGUCAUGUCAUGUCGCCGGUCACUUUAAAAAAAAAAAUCUACACAGGUCUGAAUGCUCUCUAACUAUAGCAAGAAAGUCGCUAAAUUGGCAACAGUGAUCCCUCCUGCUACUUAUUCUUAUUCUUUGGCGUAGCAGCUGUGUAUGAGUUAGGAUGCUAUCUACUGUAUGAAGUUGGAACUGCAAGCUACAUUCACGGACACUGCCAUUAUAAUGUGUUAUCAAAUUUAUCUGUGGCGGUCCAAAUGUAUUUGUGUAAAGCCACCACAAAUAAAUACAUACCAUAAAUGGGAAACACUGACUUUGGACUCUUGACAAGUGAAGCGAUGCUGAAGUUACCUUUGGAUGUGUGGCAGACAACAUCUCUGGCGGUCGCCUUGACGACCACCACAGCCAGCAGGAGGGCAACGAGGGUGGAGGUCCGC